rnacentral:tRNA from 1 species
UCCGAAUUAGUUUAGUGGCUAUGACGGCGCCUUGUCAUCUUCGGAUGCUUCAACCAAGUUCUCCGCGCAUAAUACGGCGCAGACCCGGGUUCAAUUCCCGGAUUCGGAG